GGAAGUAAAAGUCGUAACAAGGUUUCCGUAGGUGAACCUGCGGAAGGAUCAUUGUCGAAACCUGCCCAGCAGAAAGACCCGCGAACAUGUUUUCCCAUGAACACGCAGGGAGGGGCGCCUCUGCCCCAUCCCUGGCGCAACAACAAACCCCGGCGCGAACCGCGCCAAGGAACACGAACUAAAGGCGUGCCCGCCCGCGCCCGGUCCGCCGGCACGCGGGGGCGGCACCUGUCCCUACUUAAAACGUAACGACUCUCGGCAACGGAUAUCUCGGCUCUCGCAUCGAUGAAGAACGUAGCGAAAUGCGAUACUUGGUGUGAAUUGCAGAAUCCCGUGAACCAUCGAGUCUUUGAACGCAAGUUGCGCCCAAAGCCUUCCGGCCGAGGGCACGUCUGCCUGGGCGUCACGCAUCGCGUCUCCCCCCCGCCUGCCGGGGGGAAGGAUGAUGGCCUCCCGUACCCUAACCGGGCGCGGCUGGCCUAAAACGGGAGCCCGCGGCGACGAGCUGCAGCGGCGAUUGGUGGUGGACGAGGCCUUCGAGGCCCCCGUUUGCAUCGCGUCGCGCACGCACGCCGUCGGAGAAGGGCUCGUUGGACCCUAAGGUGUUGCUGAAAAGCACAAACCGUUGCGACCCCAGGUCAGGCGGGGCUACCCGCUGAGUUUAAGCAUAUCAAUAAGCGGAGGA
rnacentral:rRNA from 2 species